CAAAAAGCAAGCUUGAGUAGCUUGGGCUUCACCUCUUGUUUUCAGGAUGUGCUUACCUAAAGUGGAGAACACUGUUGGCGAGGACUGGUAGCUUAUGCUUAGGGAAGACACUGGACAUCUGUUUUCAGAUAUCACAAAGCUAAGAGACAGUGCUGAAAUCUAGGAUGAGUCACAGCAUCACCAAGAUUGGAGAAGACCUCCAAGAUCAUCCAGUCCAGCCCUCCACCUACCACCAUUUCUCCCCCCUAAAACAUGUCUGGUAACAUCUUUGCAUUCAAGGCUGUCUGGGUGCCCAACCCUGACGUGGC
rnacentral:lncRNA from 1 species